CUUGCCUCCGGGGGGCCGCCGUGCGGCCUCUUGGUCCCUGGGCGGUCGCCUGACCCAGCCAAGUAGCGUGAAGGAUGAAGGUUCUAUGGAUUGUAAACUUCUUUUAUAAAGGAAUAAAGUGAGGCACGUGUGCCUUUUUGUAUGUACUUUAUGAAUAAGGAUCGGCUAACUCCGUGCCAGCAGCCGCGGUAAUACGGAGGAUCCGAGCGUUAUCCGGAUUUAUUGGGUUUAAAGGGAGCGUAGAUGGGUUGUUAAGUCAGUUGUGAAAGUUUGCGGCUCAACCGUAAAAUUGCAAUUGAUACUGG
rnacentral:rRNA from 1 species